rnacentral:rRNA from 1 species
AUUGAACGCUGGCGGCAUGCCUUACACAUGCAAGUCGAACGGUAACGGGCCUUCAGGUGCCGACGAGUGGCGAACGGGUGAGUAAUACAUCGGAACGUGCCCGAUCGUGGGGGAUAACGAGGCGAAAGCUUUGCUAAUACCGCAUACGAUCUACGGAUGGAAGCAGGGGACCGCAAGGCCUUGCGCGGACGGAGCGGCCGAUGGCAGAUUGGGUAGUUGGUGGGAUAAAAGCUUACCAAGCCGACGAUCUGUAGCUGGUCUGAGAGGAUGAUCAGCCACACUGGGACUGAGACACGGCCCAGACUCCUACGGGAGGCAGCAGUGGGGAAUUUUGGACAAUGGGCGCAAGCCUGAUCCAGCCAUGCCGCGUGCAGGAUGAAGGCCUUCGGGUUGUAAACUGCUUUUGUACGGAACGAAAAGCCUUCUUUUAAUACAGGAGGGUCAUGACGGUACCGUAAGAAUAAGCACCGGCUAACUACGUG